rnacentral:rRNA from 1 species
AUUGAACGCUGGCGGCAUGCCUUACACAUGCAAGUCGAACGGCAGCGGACCUUCGGGUGCCGGCGAGUGGCGAACGGGUGAGUAAAGUAUCGGAACGUACCUUUCAGUGGGGGAUAACUGUCCGAAAGGACAGCUAAUACCGCAUAUUCUGUGAGCAGAAAAGCAGGGGAUCGCAAGACCUUGCGCUGAUUGAGCGGCCGAUAUCAGAUUAGCUAGUUGGUGAGGUAAAGGCUCACCGAGGCGACGAUCCGUAGCGGGUCUGAGAGGACGACCCGCCACACUGGAACUGAGACACGGUCCAGACUCCUACGGGAGGCAGCAGUGGGGAAUUUUGGACAAUGGGCGCAAGCCUGAUCCAGCAAUGCCGCGUGAGUGAAGAAGGCCUUCGGGUUGUAAAGCUCUUUCAGUUGAAAAGAAAAAGCCGUGACUAAUAAUCAUGGUUCAUGACGGUAUCAACAGAAGAAGCACCGGCUAACUACGUG